rnacentral:rRNA from 1 species
GAUGAACGCUGGCGGCGUGCCUAAUACAUGCAAGUCGAGCGAACAGAUGAGGAGCUUGCUCCUCUGACGUUAGCGGCGGACGGGUGAGUAACACGUGGAUAACCUACCUAUAAGACUGGGAUAACUUCGGGAAACCGGAGCUAAUACCGGAUAAUAUAUUGAACCGCAUGGUUCAAUAGUGAAAGACGGUUUUGCUGUCACUUAAAGAUGGAUGCGCGGCGCAUUAGCUAGUUGGUAAGGUAACGGCUUACCAAGGCAACGAUGGGUAGCCGACCGGAGAGGGUGACCGGCAACACUGGGACUGAGAAAAGGCCCAGACGCGUACGGGAGGAAGCAGUGGGGAAUAUUGCACAAUGGGCGCAAGCAUGAUGCAGCAAUGUAGGGUGAGGGAUGACGGCCUGCGGGGUGUAAACCUCUUUGAGUAGGGAAGAAGCGAAAGUGACGGUACCUGCAUAAAAAGCACCGGCUAACUACGUG